GGCUAUGUAGCUCAGUUGGUUAGAGCACCGCACUCAUAAUGCGGGGGUCACAGGUUCAAAUCCCGUCAUAGCCA
rnacentral:tRNA from 2 species